ACCCUCUUAGAAGAAAUUCUGUUAAAAAGCCUUCUGGGAAGUAGGAAAUGAAACAGCUUGAAGUCACACAGGUUUCUGGUAUCCCUACCCCACAAGUAAAGAAUUCCCUGGGGCAAGGAGAGGGUGUUGGUUUAUGCAUACUCCUUUGUGUGCGUGUGUGUGUGUGGUGUGGACGUGCAUGCACACACAGUGGUAGGGACACAAGCCUACAAGAUGCAGCGGUACAGACUUAGGAAUUGACCAAGCUACAGGAUCAAAGGGGUGCACAGGGAUGGAUGCGGACACUGAUCCAGCCUACCCUCUAGCCAAGCUUUGUGUCCUGACAUGGAGUUGCAACUUCUUGGAGGAAGGGAUAUCUUUUUUUCUAAUUCACACAAAGAUGUCUGGACCAUCAGUGGCCUGGAGAGAUGUGGUGGAGACUCAGAGCCUCCAGGAUCUGGAGUAACUCUGCUACUGUGCACGGAUGUAUCUGAACACUGGCCACUCCCCACAAACAUCCCUGGAUGAGACGAAAGUGUUAGCGGUGUAUUAGAUUGAUGCAGAAGCAGCUGCGUUUUUUGCCAUGACAUUUUUUAAGUGACAAAAACCACAAUUACUUUUGAACCAACCUAAUAAAACACUCCUUGUACCCAUUCCAUGAUUUUAGUAUUUUCAUUGUACUCAAGGAUCCCAGGGCGGCUUUUCAGAUCUAUCAAGUUGACAUUCACUUUGCUCACCCAACCUCUCUGCCAACUCAUCUCACCCAAGCCUCUGCACAUGGCCUAGAUGGAAUGCACCUGGCACGUCUUUGCUUGUCCCUCCCUUCUCCCUUGCUUCACCUCCCAUACCUUUUGCAGAGCAAGGGCUCUGUUAUCAGCAGGCUGGGGUUCAAAUCCCAAUUUCUUUACUUAAUAAAAGUUGACUUUGGG
rnacentral:lncRNA from 10 species